GUGCCUAGAAAAUUUUUAAUUUGUUUUGACAGGCGUGUAGAAAGAUUCCCGCACCACAAUUACGAAAAAAAAAAAAACCACGACGACGUUGUAUUAACUCUAAGGUAAGCCAAACGACAUAACUUUCGGUUUAGCCCGUACUCUAUCUCAUACUCAAAGUUCUCUCUCAACCAUGGCUGCCGCUGUUAGACACCACUGAAUCAACGUUUUAGUCCUAUUUUAUUGACCAAAUCUCCAAAGCAUACUAGAUCGACGUCUGUCCCGCCGUUAGGGUUCUGGAUCUGAUCGCUCUCUUCUUCAAUCUUUCACUUUCUCUAUACUGGGGCUUUCCAUCGUCGUCUAGAUCUCUGUCUCUCCGGUCGCCAUCGUCGUCUUUGUUUCCAGUCGCCAUCGUCAUCUCUCUCCGUUUAUCUUUCACUAUGUUGUGCCCUGGUAGCUUCUGCGGUUGGAGCAUAUCUCCAUAUCCUCUGGAACAUUGGUGGCCUUCUUACUACGCUCGGAUGCAUUGGUUGCAUCGCUUGGCUUCUCGCAACUCGUCCUAAUCUAGAGCAAAUAAGGGGCAUCUAUUGGUCCUCUGAUUCACUUGGCCAUUGAAAUUGAUCCAAGGUCAAAACUAGGAUUGCGGGUUGCGGUUGGCGUUACUUUUUUUUGUUGCCGCUAUAUUUUUUGUAUGGCUCAUGAAGAAGUUGCAAGAAGUUGCAAGAAGAUAUGAAGAAUUUUUGUUUUAUUUUGGUUAAGUAAAUAUAUAAGGUGUGGAUCAUGUACUUAUUUGAAAUUUGUAUAUGGUUAAUUUUUGUAUAAAACAAUGAUUUGUAAUUGGUUAUAUAUAUAUAUGAUGUUAUUGGUCAGUUGUAAAUUA